rnacentral:rRNA from 1 species
CGCGGCCUAUCAGCUUGUUGGUGAGGUAACGGCUCACCAAGGCAUCGACGGGUAGCUGGUCUGAGAGGACGACCAGCCACACUGGGACUGAGACACGGCCCAGACUCCUACGGGAGGCAGCAGUAGGGAAUCUUGCACAAUGGGCGAAAGCCUGAUGCAGCAACGCCGCGUGGGGGAAGACGGCUCUCGGGUUGUAAACCCCUUUCAGCAGGGACGAAAUUGACGGUACCUGCAGAAGAAGAACCGGCCAACUACGUGCCAGCAGCCGCGGUAACACGUAGGGUUCAAGCGUUGUCCGGAUUCAUUGGGCGUAAAGGGCUCGUAGGCGGUUUGGUAAGUCGGGUGUGAAAACUCAGGGCUCAACCCUGAGACGCCACUCGAUACUGCCAUGACUUGAGUCCGGUAGAGGAGCACGGAAUUCCUGGUGUAGCGGUGAAAUGCGCAGAUAUCAGGAGGAACACCAGUAGCGAAGGCGGUGCUCUGGGCCGGUACUGACGCUGAGGAGCGAAAGCGUGGGGAGCGAACAGGAUUAGAUACCCUGGUAGUCCACGCCGUAAACGUUGGGCACUAGGUGUGGGACCCUUCCAACGGGUUCCGUGCCGUAGCUAACGCAUUAAGUGCCCCGCCUGGGGAGUACGG